CCAUGGGUUGUUAAAGCUAGUAUGGCACCAAUAAAAUGUGAAGAGAGGAAUACACAAGUAAAGCACAGAGGUCUAGUGUGGCUGCAUCAGAAAACCUGAAUGGGUGCUGCUGUGCACGUGGUGCUGUGCAGAGUUAACUGCUGGAUUGUGCCCAGGGAGCCAGCCACUGAAGAGAGCACUGCCACAGAUUGUAACCUUCCUUCAGCAGAGGGACCCUUAUCUCUGAGGGAUGAAAUAUCAGUUGAUCUCCUUGCAGGAAUUACAUGCUCUGUCUUUCCAUUAAGUGAACCCAAUUAUGACUUCUACUUUGUGAAUGACCUUCUAACAUGGAAACAGCAUAUGGGAAGCAAACUGAAUAAAAAGACUUAUCUUCAAUAAAUGCUAAUAAAAGAAAAACACUCCAAUCGCUUUAGUCA
rnacentral:lncRNA from 1 species